GAGUUGAUACCCUAGAGGUCUAAGGGGAUGAAUUGUAAAUUCAUAAAAAAAUCAUCGGUUCAAAUCCGAUUCAACUUA
rnacentral:tRNA from 1 species